CUUCAGCGAACCCAGCCACAGCGGCUCACCCGCGCGCUCCCGCCCGUAGGUGGCGAGCAGCGCCUGGGCCUC
rnacentral:antisense_RNA from 1 species